rnacentral:tRNA from 1 species
UUAUAGCUCAGCGGAUAGAGCGUCUGGUUGCGGUCCAGAAGGUCGCAGGUUCGAUUCCUGCUAA